GCCAGAAUGGUGUAGUGGUUUGAUGUUAGAUGAUAAUCCUGGAGACCAGGGUUUGAAUCCCUAUUCAGCCA